rnacentral:rRNA from 1 species
AAUCAACGCUGGCGGCGUGCCUCAGACAUGCAAGUCGAACGCGAAAGUCCCCCUCGGGGGACAAGUAGAGUGGCGCACGGGUGAGUAACACGUAGGUAAUCUACCUUCGGGUGGGGAAUAACAAUCGGAAACGGUUGCUAAUACCGCAUAAUGCAGCGGCACCUAAUGGUGACAGUUGUUAAAGCGGGGGAGUCGCAAGAUCUCGCGCCUGAAGAGGAGCCUGCGGCGGAUUAGCUAGUUGGUAGGGUAAUGGCCUACCAAGGCGACGAUCCGUAGCCGGCCUGAGAGGGCGGUCGGCCACACUGACACUGACAUACGGGUCAGACUCCUACGGGAGGCAGCAGUCGGGAAUUUUGGGCAAUGGGCGAAAGCCUGACCCAGCAA